CUGACAUACACACACAGACAUACUGGCAUACACACAGACAUACUGACACACACACACACACACACUGAUAUACACACACAGACAUACUGGCAUACACACAGACAUAAUGACACACACAAACAUACUGGCAUACACACAGACAUACUGACACACACACACACAGACAGACAUACUGGCAUACACACAGACAUACUGACACACACAGACAUACUGGCAUACACACAGACAUAAUGACACACACACACAUACUGGCAUACACACAGACAUACUGACACACACACACACACACACACACACACAGACAUACUGGCAUACACACAAUCAUACACACACACACAGACCUACUGACAUACAUUUAGCCACCCUCCAGGUUCUUACCUUUUUCUGGAGGGUGGUUUCCCUGGUCCAG